rnacentral:tRNA from 1 species
AGCCCGGUGGUGUAGCGGCCCAUCUGGUGCGGUUUUUCCGCGCACGGCGAAGCAUUUGGGGCUUUGAAACCCGAGACGCAGGUUCGAAUCCUGCCCGGGCUA